UGGUGAUGAUGAGUACAACUAAUGAGUAGAGUUUUGAACCUGUCCCAGGCUUGGUAUAAAUUUUCACCCGACUUCUGUUUAAAGCUUAGAAUUUUAGCUCUUAGCUU